CCCCGCCCUCGCCGGCCCGGCCCCGCCCCCUCCCGCAGCGCAGCGCCCGGCGCGCUGUCGUCACCAGCCCAGCUCUGAAGGACGCGCCCAGCUCUCGACUCGGCACGGUGGAUUGGGUUCCGGCAGGCCGGGGGGGCGGGACCUCAGCGGGGAUGCUGAUUCUAAUUGGUUGCGAUGAGUAGGGGAGGCGGGCACUAGAAUGACUGAAGUUUAGAGAGGGAGGAAAAAAGAAGUUUAGAGUAUGAGGGAGGGAGCUAAGGGAGGGGGAGAGAGAGGGCUGGUCUGGGAGCGGGCACAGGUCGCCAGGCCGGGAGAGGCCCUCCGCCCAGGGCCUAGAGCCAAGGGAAACGCGAACGCAGAAAAGGGACCCAAGUCCCCAAGGUGGGGGCGUGACCAGAUGGGCAGGGGGCGGGGCCUCGGAGCCUGAGCAGAACGUCUAGCCUGGGAGUGCUUGGAUCUGGCGAGCCCAGAUCCCAGCUACCCGGAGCGGCCGGGCCUCGAAACGGAUUCGACCGGUUUGGGUUCGUUUAUUCGUUCAACGAAUGUUCCUGAACGAUCCAUUGUGGCAAGGGAUUCGGAGUCCGGUUAUGAAGGGUAAACUGCAGCCCGGCGCUUGACUGCUGUGUGAUCUUGGGCAAGUUAGACAGCCUGUCUGAAACAAGCAUCUCCAGCUGAGAGUGAAGAUCUACACUAGCCACUGGGCUCCAAGAAUGAAGAAACAGUGAUCCUGCUCGCGAGGAGAUUGCAGCUUAACAGGAGAGCCUGACAAGCAGAUCACUUGAGGAAAACGGGAAGGAGGUGGAUUAAAACCCAGCCUGGUGCCUGCAGAGCUAAGUCCUGACCCCGGUGGCUUGACCUUGGCCAAAUCUCCGCUUCACGUCUGUCUGUAAAGAAGGUGGAAGGAGUGACUGUGAACAAUAGAGACCUCAGAUCCCUCCCAGCUCCAGUUUUUCAGAAACACUUAAGCUUUUCUCCUCCCUUAUUGGACGCGUUCUUUCUUGUCGAUGGAAUGCCCUCUGUUCUUAAAAAUCCUACCUCAUCCAAGUAGUCUUCCAGGAUUUCUAGGAAAGUGUUUUUUCUCUGAACUGGGGCACCUAGUCUCACUUUUGUGACAGGGCAUGCCUUCUGACUCCCUUUAAUAAUAAUAGCCCUUAUUUAAACUCUGAGGAACUCCACAGACUGGACCAAGCUCCAGACAGCUGCAGUGAUUUCCUUCACACCGUUGAAUUGGGGAAAUAAAAAACACAAAAUGUGGGCGGGGAUCAAGAAACCACGAGGGAAGUGGAGCCCUGAAGCUGCAGGCUUAGGACCUGCCAGGCAGAGAAGGGACCUUUAUCUAGACCCAGGCCAAGAGGCUGCCAGACAGGAAACUGUAACCUUCAGUCCUUGAUGGCAGUCUGCUCAGCAGUCUCCCAAGAGAGAAACUAGGCGAUUUCUAUAGUACCACCCUCCAUCCUAGUGAGGCUCCCUCUGACCAAGUCGAUGGCUUCUGAUGCCCUUCACACUCUUGAUGGGAGUAGAGGAAGCCCAGCAUCUGGAAGCCAGUGGGGGAAAUAUUUAUCGCAGGCAUCAUGUGGAUUACUCAGAUUGACCCACAUCUGAGAUAAAAUUCAAUUUGUUUUAUGAACAACUACUUAAUGCUAAUACAUUCCUGGAUAAAAACUCGAUCACCUUAACGUCUAUUUUGGCUGAGACUCUGACACACAUUUCUCUGCCUAAACUCUAUCUGUUUGGAAUGGCUUGGGCAGCAAGGGACAAAACAUCUGACAAAUAGUAGCUUGGAAUGUGAGGUCAUUUAUCACAUCUUUACCAUGAAGUUUAAAUGCUGGUAGUUUCAGGACUAGCUGGACAGGAAGAUUAUCUGUUAUCAAGGACUGAAGAUCUUUUUGUUUUUACUCUUUGCCAUCAUAGCCAUAUGAACUUUUGUCUCCAAGCCUGUCCCCUCUUAAUUACAAGGUGGCUGCCACAGCUCCAGACAUCAUACCCUCAGGGGUCACUAUAUGAAGCAAGAGAGGAGGGCUGGGCUCCUCUCUUUCUGUUGCCACAGACUCCUUCAUCCAUCCAUUUCCCAGAUACACCGAGUGGAUCAUGAGCUGAUGUGGCUUUAAUUGCUCCUCUACAGCAAUAAACAGACUUACAAGGC